AAUUUUAUUGUACUUUUCAAAAAAAUUUAUAUAAUUUAUAGUGUCAUGAAAAUAUUCAUAUAUAUAAAAUAAUUAUCACCCCUACUUCAUUCUUGCCUUGUCAUUCAUUAUGGAAGUGACUAUCUGAAAGGGCACUUCUUCUGCUGGACAGCAUAUCUGUGAAACAAUGCAUACUCUGUUACUAUACAUUGAGUGUUCCUAAACACUACUUGGAUGAUGCAGUUCUUUUCUUUCCUAUAUACACAGGAAAGGACACUAUUUUCAUUCUGUUCCACAUAUUUUUAUUGUGUACGGACAUGGCAAAAACAGGUAGUUUUGUUUUGAUCAUAUGGCAUAAUGAUUAUACAUGCCUAGAGAUGUUAGAUUCUUGGAGCCUCGUCCUUUAAUUCCAGGACAUCUUCAAGACUUUGGUAACUAUUUCCACCGUGGUUCCAGUCUUGGCUCCUCAGGUUGAAGAUACUGAAGUUACGACAGCUGUGCCUCAGUCACGUCUUCAGAGUUGCCCCCAUCCUCUUCACCAGAGCCGUCAGAGCCUGUUACAGAUCCUUCUACAAUAUGCCAUUGCAUUAGGUAUCCAACAGGUACCCAAUGAAGUUUCUGAAAAGGUGAAGAGAGUAUUAAAUUCUGACCAAGUUUAAGGGGAGUUGUAUUCAGUAAUUCUGUUAUUAUUAUGAAUCUGAUAGUGUGCAGUACCCAUGUUCUAUAACCUCUGUUAGAGAUGAUCAUAUCUGUUAUAUCUGGUACGCAUAAACAAUUAGACAUGCCAGAUGUCUUUUUUUGUUUUAAUGAAUAAGAAGAAUUUCAGUACCUGAGAUGCAUAUAACUUCGUGGAUUUUAUAUAUACUUAUAUACAUGCAUGCAUGUAUGUAUGUAUGGGAGUCAAACAGUUGUUUUUUGAGCCAUUGGUAACACAUAGUUGCUUGGUCUGCAAAUUUGAAAAUAA